AUUGAACGCUGGCGGCAGGCUUAACACAUGCAAGUCGAGCGAGCGGAGGACGGGUGAGUAAUGUCUGGGAAACUGCCUGAUGGAGGGGGAUAACUACUGGAAACGGUAGCUAAUACCGCAUACCAUCAGAUGUGCCCCGAGGGGAUUAGCUAGUAGGUGGGGUAAUGGCUCACCUAGGCGACGAUCCCUAGCUGGUCGGAGGGGAUGACCAGGCGAACGGGAACUGAGAGACGGUCCAGACUCCUACGGGAGGCAGCAGUGGGGAAUAGUGGAAAAUUGGCGAAAGCCUGAUGCAGCCAUGCAGCGUGUGUGAAGAAGGCCUUCGGGUUGUAAAGCACUUUCAGCGAGGAGGCGUUACUCGCAGAAGAAGCACCGGCCAACUCCGUGCCAGCCGCCGCGGUAAUAC
rnacentral:rRNA from 1 species